AGUGAACGCUGGCGGUAGGCCUAACACAUGCAAGUCGAACGGCAGCACAGUAAGAGCUUGCUCUUACGGGUGGCGAGUGGCGGAUGGGUGAGGAAUACAUCGGCAUCUACUUUUUCGUGGGGGAUAACGUAGGGAAACUUACGCUAAUACCGCAUACGACCUCCGGGUGAAAGCAGGGGAUUUUCGGACCUUGCGCGUUUGAUUGAGCCGAUGGCGGAUUAGCUAGUUGGCGGGGUAAAGGCCCACCAAGGCGACGAUCCGUAGCUGGUCUGAGAGGAUGAUCAGCCACACUGGAACUGAGACACGGUCCAGACUCCUACGGGAGGCAGCAGUGGGGAAUAUUGGACAAUGGGCGCAAGCCUGAUCCAGCCAUACCGCGUGGGUGAAGAAGGCCUUCGGGUUGUAAAGCCCUUUUGUCGGGAAAGAAAAGCAGCAGGUUAAUACCCCGCUGUUCUGACGGUACCCAAAGAAUAAGCACCGGCUAACUUCGUG
rnacentral:rRNA from 1 species